CCUACGGGAGACUGCAGUGGGGAAUAUUGGGCAAUGGGCGCAAGCCUGACCCAGCAACGCCGCGUGAAGGAAGAAGGCUUUCGGGUUGUAAACUUCUUUUCUUAGGGACGAAGAAAGUGACAGUACCUCAGGAAUAAGCCACCGCUAACUACGUGCCAGCAGCCGCGGGAAUACGUAGGUGGCAAGCGUUAUCCGGAUUUAUUGGGUGUAAAGGGCUUGUAGGCGGGAAAUCAAGUCAGAUGGGAAAACUCAGGGCUCAACCCUGAGCCUGCAUUUGAAACUGGUUUUCUUGAGUGCUGGAGAGGUAAGCGGAAUUCCGUGUGUAGCGGUGAAAUGCGUAGAUAUACGGAGGAACACCAGUGGCGAAGGCGGAUUGCUGGACAGUAACUGACGCUGAGGCGCGAAAGCGUGGGGAGCAAACAGGAUUAGAUACCCCUGUAGUC
rnacentral:rRNA from 1 species